UGUAAACGAGACAUGAAUCAGCAAAUUAGUUUCAGUCUCAAUCUAUGCACUGAAAACUUACACCAUGAAACAGGGCCUUUUACCUCCUGCAUUCACCGUUUACAGUGUAAUGGCAUGCAGAGGACAGACCUUCACACACAGUCAAAUUCUUCCAAAGACAGUACCUUCUGCUUCUUCAGGGGCAACCUCUAGCAUGUGAACACGAGAUUCCACCUCCUCCACGACUUCCUCUGAGUCAGCCAUGUCUGCAAGCAAACUGAGCACUGCGGAGAAUUACAGCAGUAUUGACGGAAUUAAAAUGGACUUGACUUCAGUCCUUCUUGUGCAUGGGGGGAGAGAGAUGUCUUCUCACAGAGGUCCAGAAGACAUUGCGGAUUCACAAAACACAAAAGAAUGUGAGCGGCUGUCAGGGAAAAAUAAAA